rnacentral:rRNA from 1 species
UACAGAGGUCUCAAGCGUUGUUCGGAUUCAUUGGGCGUAAAGGGUGCGUAGGCGGCCUUCUAAGUCAGACGUGAAAUCCCCCGGCUUAACCUGGGAACUGCGUCUGAUACUGGGAGGCUUGAGUAUGGGAGAGGGAUGUAGAAUUCCAGGUGUAGCGGUGAAAUGCGUAGAUAUCUGGAGGAAUACCGGUGGCGAAGGCGGCAUCCUGGACCAUAACUGACGCUGAGGCGCGAAAGCUAGGGGAGCAAACGGG